rnacentral:rRNA from 1 species
AUACAGAGGGUGCAAGCGUUAAUCGGAAUUACUGGGCGUAAAGGGUGCGUAGGUGGUGAGAUAAGUUGGAUGUGAAAUCCCCGGGCUUAACCUGGGAAGGUCAUCCAAAACUAUUUGACUAGAGUAUGGUAGAGGGAAGUGGAAUUUCCGGUGUAGCGGUGAAAUGCGUAGAUAUCGGAAGGAACAUCAGUGGCGAAGGCGACUUCCUGGACUAAUACUGACACUGAGGCACGAAAGCGUGGGGAGCAAACAGGAUUAGAUACCCCAGUAGUCC